GACGAACGCUGGCGGCGUGCUUAACACAUGCAAGUCGAACGGAAAGGCCCUGCUUUUGUGGGGUGCUCGAGUGGCGAACGGGGGAGUAACACGUGAGUAACCUGCCCUUGACUUUGGGAUAACUUCAGGAAACUGGGGCUAAUACCGGAUAGGAGCUCCUGCUGCAUGGGGGGGGUUGGAAAGUUUCGGCGGUUGGGGAUGGACUCGCGGCUUAUCAGCUGGUUGGUGGGGUAGUGGCUUACCAAGGCUUUGACGGGUAGCCGGCCUGAGAGGGUGACCGGCCACAUUGGGACUGCGAUACGGCCCAGCCUCCUACGGGCGGCAGCAGUGGGGAAUCUUGCACAAUGGGCGGACGCCUGAUGCAGCAACGCCGCGUGCGGGAUGCCGGCCUUUGGGUUGUAAACCGCUUUCGCCUGUGCCGAAGCGUGAGUGACGGUAAUGGGUAAAGAAGCACCGGCUAACUACGUG
rnacentral:rRNA from 1 species